GUCUCUUCGGGGAUGAUUAAACCGGCGCACGGGUGAGUAACACGUGAGUGACCUGCCUUUUAGACUGGACCAACUUACCGAAAGGUGAGCUAAUGCCGGAUGAGUUAUAUAAGUGCAUGUUUAUAUAGGAAAAGUUGGGGAGACCUGACGCUGAAAGAUGGACUCGCGUCCCAUUAGCUAGUUGGUAGGGUAAUGGCCUACCAAGGCGACGAUGGGUAGCCGGCCUGAGAGGGUGGCCGGCCACACUGGGACUGAGACACGGCCCAGACUCCUACGGGAGGCAGCAGUGGGGAAUUUUGCGCAAUGCUCGUGAGAGUGACGCAGCGACGCCGCGUGAAUGACGAAGGCCUUCGGGUCGUAAAGUUCUUUCGACAGGGAAGAAAAUGCCUAUAAGUAACUGUGUAUGUAUUGACGGUACCUGUAUAAGCAGCCCCGGCUAACUCCGUGCCAGCAGCCGCGGUAAUACGGAGGGGGCGAGCGUUGUUCGGAGUGACUGGGCGUAAAGAGCACGUAGGCGGUGUUGUAAGUCAUUAGUCAAAGACUAGAGCUCAACUUUAGUAAGGCUAGUGAUACUAUAAUACUAGAGUAUCAGAGAGGAUUGCAGAAUUCCUGGUGUAGCGGUGAAAUGCGUAGAUAUCAGGAGGAAUACCGUUAGCGAAGGCGGCAAUCUGGCUGGAAACUGACGCUGAGGUGCGAAAGCGUGGGUAGCAAACAGGAUUAGAUACCCUGGUAGUCCACGCUGUAAACGAUGGAUGCUA
rnacentral:rRNA from 1 species